GUCUUACCUGCCCACUGAGUAAUUUAAGGGCCGCGGUAUUUUGACCGUGCAAAGGUAGCAUAAUCAUUAGUCUUUUAAUUAAGGACUGGGAUGAAAGGUAGAACGAGGUACAAACUGUCUCCAUGAGAGAAGAGAAUUUAACUUUUUAGUUAAAAGGCUAAAAUAGGGUUAGAGGACGAGAAGACCCUAUAGAACUUUAUAAAAUAAAGUCAGAUUUUUAGAAAAUAGUUUUGUUUGUACUUAAACUUUAUUACGUUGGGGUGAUGGGGUAAUAAAUCAACUUAUCUUAAAUAUAACACAAUAAGUGACUAAAGGAUCCAUGAAUAAUGAAUAAAAAAUUAAGUUACCUUAGGGAUAACAGCGUAAUCCUUUUUGAGAGUCCAUAUCGAUAAGAGGGGUUGCGACCUCGAUGUUGGAUUAAAGGUAAUCUCGGGUGUAGCCGUUCGAGGUUGGGGUCUGUUCGAC
rnacentral:rRNA from 1 species